GGGGAAUUUUGCGCAAUGACCGUAAGGUUGACGCAGCAACGCCGCGUGUAUGAUGAAGGCUUUCGGGUCGUAAAGUACUUUCAGCAGGGAAGAAUGGUAAGGGGAGUAACUGCCCUUUAAUUGACGGUACCUGCAGAAGCAGCCCCGGCUAAGUCCGUGCCAGCAGCCGCGGUAAUACGGAGGGGGCAAGCGUUGUUCGGAGUCACUGGGCGUAAAGAGCCUGUAGGCGGUCCGUCACGUCGGAAGUGAAAACUCAGGGCUUAACCCUGAGCCUGCUUUCGAUACGGGCAGACUUGAGGGAUGUAGGGGAGAACGGAAUUCCUGGUGGAGCGGUGGAAUGCGCAGAUAUCAGGAGGAACACCAGUGGCGCAGGCGGUUCUCUGGACAUUUCCUGACGCUGAGAAGCGAAAGCGUGCGGAGCAAACA
rnacentral:rRNA from 1 species